UAGUUCACAUUCUCAGAGGGAAAUCAGGGUGCGACUCCCUGGCUGUGCCGCAACCGUAAAGCCGGAAAACCAAAUUC
rnacentral:ncRNA from 1 species